AUUGAACGCUGGCGGCAGGCCUAACACAUGCAAGUCGAGCGCGAAAGUUCUUCGGAACGAGUAGAGCGGCGGACGGGUGAGUAACGCGUGGGAAAUUGCCCAGUAGUGGGGGACAACAUUCGGAAACGGAUGCUAAUACCGCAUACGCCCUACGGGGGAAAGCAGGGGAUCUUCGGACCUUGCGCUAUUGGAUAUGCCCGCGUCGGAUUAGCUAGUUGGUGAGGUAAUGGCUCACCAAGGCAACGAUCCGUAGCUGGUCUGAGAGGAUGAUCAGCCACACUGGGACUGAGACACGGCCCAGACUCCUACGGGAGGCAGCAGUGGGGAAUAUUGGACAAUGGGCGAAAGCCUGAUCCAGCCAUGCCGCGUGUGUGAAGAAGGCCCUAGGGUUGUAAAGCACUUUCAGUAGGAGAAGCUUAAAGUUAACCUUUGAGAUGACGUUACUACAGAAGAAGCACCGGCUAACUCCGUGCCAG
rnacentral:rRNA from 1 species